AUGUGGGCAGGGCUGAAGGUUCUAUCUAGUUAGUAAUAUUUGACGGAAUAUCAAACACGAGGAAUAUGUACGUACAAUAGAACAUUAAAUUUUAAAUCGGUAUAUCUUAUCGAUAAAUCAGCUGCUGACUAGCAACUUAUUAAGUUUACGUCGGGCAAAUAUCAAGGAAUAGUUUUUACGAAAAUACUAACAGCUGUUUAAGGAAAAUGGUGUGCGUGCCGUGCUUUAUCAUUCCGCUGCUGCUCUAUAUCUGGCACAAGUUCGUGCAGCCCAUUCUGCUGCGCUACUGGAAUCCGUGGGAGAAGAAGGACGCCCAGGGGAAUGUGAUCAAGGCGGGGCCGGAGUUCCCGUUCGAGUGCAAGGGCGGCGUCUGUCCAUUUGUGCCCGGUGGCAAGAAGGCAAACGCUGACAACGAUACGGUGGAGACCACAUCAUCUGAAACAGUCACGACUACAGCUUCGGACGGCCAGGAGACUAAAACUACAACCAUCACAACCGGUGGUAGCAGCAGCACCACCACCACAACCACGUCGUCGUCCUCAGGGCCAACCACUGAGCCCAUCCCGGAGGAAACAAAGAAGUUAAUUUAGUCAAAAUUUCAUGUUUUUUUUUCUCGCUUGUACAAUAAGUCUUGACACAACGCACACAGUCACUCCACGGGUCCCCCGCUGUGUGGGUGUGCUGGGGGACACGUUAUCUAAAGAGCAGCAACCAAUUACGCUUAAAAACGAAAAUAUGUUAACUUAAAUGUAAUACACAUCGCAAUCACCCAAAUUGAGUUGUUUACUGCUGCAUAUGCUUCAAUUAUGGGUGUCGUCUAUGAAGUCGUUACCUCGCUGAUCAAUAUCGAGGCUCAACCGAGGAACAUCUUCCAAUCAGACACCACGAUAGUACUUACUCUAGGAAGGGCUCAACCACAAACUCAAUCCACGGAUGGGAUUUGCCUCUCUUGACACUUGUGUAAGGCCUCUACCGUAGUAAAUAUUAAGUCAAACAGAGAGGGAAUUGCGGUGCAUU